rnacentral:rRNA from 1 species
AAUUUUUGACAAUGGGGGAAACCCUGAUCCAGCCAUCCCGCGUGUAUGAUGAAGGCCUUCGGGUUGUAAAGUACUUUUGGCCGAGCAGGAAAGGUAUCCCCUAAUACUGGAUACUGCUGCCGGUAUCUGCAUAAUAAGCACCGGCUAACUACGUGCCAGCAGCCGCGGUAAUACGUAGGGUGCAAGCGUUAAUCGGAAUUACGGGGCGUAAAGGGUGUGUAGGCGGUUCGGAAAGAAAGGUGUGAAAUACCAGGGCUCAACCUUGGAACUGCAUUUUUAACUGCCGAGCUAGAGUAUGUCAGAGGGGAGUAAAAUUGCACGUGUAGCAGUGAAAUGCGUAGAUAUGUGGAGGAAUACCGAUGGCGAAGGCAGCCCCCUGGGAUAAUACUGACGCUCAGACACGAAAGCGUGGGGAGCAAACAGG